GAGAGGAGGUGGUGAGGUAGAGGAAGCUAAAUACCCACCCUAUUGACCGCCACCCUCCCAAACCCAAUUUAAGGAUAGCCUUCCCAGCCUCUUUACUUACUACAUCGUAGCCUGUCGGUGCCCGGUUCCGAGAUGCGAGCACCCCGACGCCAGUGAUGGGGUCCAGGGGCAGCUCAGAUCAAGGCACUCUUUGUGGAAGAUGGAUAAAUGAUUCUUCAUUGUACUUUGCUGCAGCUCUGCCUGGCUUCCCUGGGUGCAAAGAAAUACAAGCAGCAAUGCCAUCAUUACCCAAGAAACCUUUAAAAAGAAAAGCCUAAAACACUGUCGGGAAGCAUCAUUUAACUCUCUGGGAAUUAAAUAUGUUCUGCCUGUAAA